rnacentral:tRNA from 1 species
GGCUACCUAGCGCAAUGGUAGCGCGUUUGGCUUCGAUUGCCCAGCGGAUACCAAAAGGUUGCAGGUUCGAGUCCUGCGGUGGUCA